rnacentral:rRNA from 1 species
AACGAACGCUGGCGGCAGGCCUAACACGUGCAAGUCGAGCGGGACCUUCGGGUCUAGCGGCGGACGGGUUAGUAACGCGUGGGAACGUGUCCAAAGGUACGGAGUAGCCUCGGGAAACUGAGAGUAAUACCGUAUGUGCCCCUCGGGGGAAAGAUUUAUCGCCUUUGGAUCGGCCCGCGUUGGAUUAGGUAGUUGGGUGGGGUAAUGGCCUACCAAGCCGACGAUCCAUAGCUGGUUUGAGAGGAUGAUCAGCAACACUGGGACUGAGACACGGCCCAGACUCCUACGGGAGGCAGCAGUGGGGAAUCUUAGACAAUGGGGGAAACCCUGAUCUAGCCAUGCCGCGUGAGCGAUGAAGGCCUUAGGGUUGUAAAGCUCUUUCAGAUGGGAAGAUAAUGACGGUACCAUCAGAAGAAGCCCCGGCUAACUCCGUG